GGUUGCAGCCAUACCGCCCUGCACAUACACAAUCUUGUCUGAUCUCAGAAGCUAAGUAGGAGUGGACCUGGUUAGUACUUGGAUAGGAGAAGGAAAAGGAAUGUUUAGACAU
rnacentral:rRNA from 1 species